GAUGAACGCUGGCGGCGUGCCUAAUACAUGCAAGUCGAGCGAACGGACGAGAAGCUUGCUUCUCUGAUGUUAGCGGCGGACGGGUGAGUAACACGUGGAUAACCUACCUAUAAGACUGGGAUAACUUCGGGAAACCGUAGCUAAUACCGGAUAAUAUUUUGAACCGCAUGGUUCAAAAGUGAAAGACGGUCUUGCUGUCACUUAUAGAUGGAUCCGCGCUGCAUUAGCUAGUUGGUAAGGUAACGGCUUACCAAGGCAACGAUGCAUAGCCGACCUGAGAGAGUGAUCGGCCACACUGGAACUGAGACACGGUCCAGGCUCCUACGGGAGGCAGCAGUAGGGAAUCUGCCGCAAUGGGCGAAAGCCUGACGGAGCAACGCCGCGUGAGUGAUGAAGGUCUUCGGAUCGUAAAACUCUGUUAUUAGAGAAGAACAUAUGUGUAAGUAACUGUGCACAUCUUGACGGUACCUAGUCAGAAAGCCACGGCUAACUACGUG
rnacentral:rRNA from 1 species